rnacentral:rRNA from 1 species
UACGUAGGUGGCAAGCGUUGUCCGGAUUUACUGGGCGUAAAGAGCGCGCAGGCGGUUGAUUAAGUCGAAUGUGAAAGCCCCCGGCUCAACUGGGGAGGGUCAUUCGAUACUGAUCGACUUGAAGGCAGGAGAGAGAAGUGGAAUUCCCGGUGUAGUGGUGAAAUGCGUAGAUAUCGGGAGGAACACCAGUGGCGAAGGCGACUGUCUGGGGUAUUGCUGACGCUGAGGCACGAAAGCCAGGGGAGCGAACGGG